rnacentral:rRNA from 1 species
AUUGAACGCUGGCGGCAGGCCUAACACAUGCAAGUCGAACGGUAACAGGAAUAAGCUUGCUUCUUUGCUGGCGAGUGGCGGACGGGUGAGUAAUGGCUGGGAAACUGCCUGUUGGAGGGGGAUAACUACUGGAAACGUUAGCUAAUACCGCAUAAUGUCGCAAGACCAAAGAGGGGUACCUGCGGGCCUCUUUCCAUCUGAUGUGUCCAGAUUGGAUUAGCUAGUAGGUGGGGUAACGGCUCACCUAGGCGACGAUCCCUAGCUGGUCUGAGAGGAUGACCAGCCACACUGGAACUGAGACACGGUCCAGACUCCUACGGGAGGCAGCAGUGGGGAAUAUUGCACAAUGGGCGAAAGCCUGAUGCAGCUAUGCCGCGUGUAUGAAGAAGGCCUUCGGGUUGUAAAGUACUUUCAGCGGGGAGGAAGGGAGUAAAGCUAAUACCUUCGCUCAUUGACGUUACCCGAAGAAGAAGCACCGGCUAACUCCGUG